rnacentral:rRNA from 1 species
GACGAACGCUGGCGGCGUGCUUAACACAUGCAAGUCGAGCGAUGAAGUUCCUUCGGGAAUGGAUUAGCGGCGGACGGGUGAGUAACACGUGGGUAACCUGCCUCAUAGAGGGGAAUAGCCUUCCGAAAGGAAGAUUAAUACCGCAUAAGAUUGUAGUGCCGCAUGGCAUAGCAAUUACAGGAGCAAUCCGCUAUGAGAUGGACCCGCGUCGCAGUAGCUAGUUGGUGAGGUAACGGCUCACCAAGGCGACGAUGCGUAGCCGACCUGAGAGGGUGAUCGGCCACAUUGGGACUGAGACACGGCCCAGACUCCUACGGGAGGCAGCAGUGGGGAAUAUUGCACAAUGGGGGAAACCCUGAUGCAGCAACGCCGCGUGAGUGAUGACGGUCUUCGGAUUGUAAAACUCUGUCUUCAGGGACGAUAAUGACGGUACCUGAGGAGGAAGUCACGGCUAACUACGUGCCAGCCGCCGCCGUAA